UAGGGCGGGACACGUGGUAUCCUGUCUGAAUAUGGGGGGACCAUCCUCCAAGGCUAAAUACUCCUGACUGACCGAUAGUGAACCAGUACCGUGAGGGAAAGGCGAAAAGAACCCCGGCGAGGGGAGUGAAAAAGAACCUGAAACCGUGUACGUACAAGCAGUGGGAGCACAGGUUUACCUGUGUGACUGCGUACCUUUUGUAUAAUGGGUCAGCGACUUAUAUUCUGUAGCAAGGUUAACCGAAUAGGGGAGCCGGAGGGAAACCGAGUCUUAAUUGGGCGUUAAGUUGCAGGGUAUAGACCCGAAACCCGGUGAUCUAGCCAUGGGCAGGUUGAAGGUUGGGUAACACUAACUGGAGGACCGAACCGACUAAUGUUGAAAAAUUAGCGGAUGACCUGUGGCUGGGGGUGAAAGGCCAAUCAAACCGGGAGAUAGCUGGUUCUCCCCGAAAGCUAUUUAGGUAGCGCCUCGUGAAUUCAUCUCCGGGGGUAGAGCACUGUUUCGGCUAGGGGGCCAUCCCGGCUUACCAACCCGAUGCAAACUGCGAAUACCGGAGAAUGUUAUCACGGGAGACACACGGCGGGUGCUAACGUCCGUCGUGAAGAGGGAAACAACCCAGACCGCCAGCUAAGGUCCCAAAGUCAUGGUUAAGUGGGAAACGAUGUGGGAAGGCCCAGACAGCCAGGAUGUUGGCUUAGAAGCAGCCAUCAUUUAAAGAAAGCGUAAUAGCUCACUGGUCGAGUCGGCCUGCGCGGAAGAUGUAACGGGGCUAAACCAUGCACCGAAGCUGC
rnacentral:rRNA from 1 species